UUUCCUCUCUUCUUUCUUUUCUCUAUUCUCUCUUACCUUUCUUCUCACGCGCACACACUUGGCCGAGAGAGAGAACGAGCUAGAGAGAGAGAGAGCUGCAGAUUGAGAGAGGAAGAGAUGCAUACCGAGCUAGAGAGAGAAUGAGAUCGAAUGAGAGAGAGAGCUGCUGUCCGAAGAAGAUGAAAGAGGAAGAAAGAAAGAAGAAGAAGAAGAAGAAGAAGAAGGUGAUGGAUUCCGGCCAUGGGGUUUGUGAGUUAAUUGCAGGCAUGUAAUGUGAUAUUAGAGGCUUAGGACUACAUCUAGUCUUCCAAUGUGUGGCAUGGGUAAUCGGAUUGAUGGAGCACUUCGAAAGGAUUACUUGAGUCGUGAGUCAUUUGUAGGCUACAAGUGAGUUCUAUACUGCUGAGCGUCUCUAUUUCAUGGAGAUGGCGGGCUCAUAAUUCCGCCUGUAUCACGGGUGGUGGUGAUUCCCGUGGUGCAGGAGAUGUUGUGAAUGCAGGUACAUAGACAGUAGAUGAGGAUCUUGUAGCCUUGUUUUUGGGCGACGUCGGAGGUCUAGAUGCGUGGGAGGUUUACUUUGUUGGACUAGUUGUUAGUCCUCUUUGUUAGAGCAUUCAAGAACAUGCUUAGAUGUUGGCAUUUGGUAUAUGGCUCGUGUCGCAUGUGACACCUUUGUAUAGCCAUUAUUUUGUAUGUAAGACUUUGUUCACAUAGAUGUAUUAGUCAGCUCUAAUGUGUUAUGUAAGUGUAAUGUUAUUUAUAUUCCGCUGCAAAGAUAUGAACUCUGAUGAAUCA